rnacentral:misc_RNA from 1 species
GAAAUGCGAUAAGUAGUGUGAAUUGCAGAAUUCAGUGAAUCAUCGAAUCUUUGAACGCACAUUGCGCCCUUUGGUAUUCCUUAGGGCAUGCCUGUUCGAGCGUCAUCUGACCCUUCAAGCAACGCUUGGUGUUGGGCGCUUUGUCCCUGCCCCCCGGGGCGUGGACUCGCCUCGAAAACAUUGGCGGCCUGUGUAUUGGCUACGAGCGCAGCAGACCCGCGCCUCGUCCCCUCUCCGCGCAGGCGCUCCACAAGCGUCCCCCCCAUUUUGACCUCGGAUCAGGUAGGGAUACCCGCUGAACUUAA